GAUGAACGCUGGCGGCGUGCUUAACACAUGCAAGUCGAACGAUGAAGCUCAGCUUGCUGGGUGGAUUAGUGGCGAACGGGUGAGUAACACGUGAGUAACCUGCCCUUAACUCUGGGAUAAGCCUGGGAAACUAGGUCUAAUACCGGAUAGGAGCGUCCACCGCAUGGUGGGUGUUGGAAAGAUUUAUCGGUUUUGGAUGGACUCGCGGCCUAUCAGCUUGUUGGUGAGGUAAUGGCUCACCAAGGCGACGACGGGUAGCCGGCCUGAGAGGGUGACCGGCCACACUGGGACUGAGACACGGCCCUGACUCCUACGGGAGGCAGCAGUGGGGAAUAUUGCACAAUGGGCGAAAGCCUGAUGCAGCGACGCCGCGUGAGGGAUGACGGCCUUCGGGUUGUAAACCUCUUUCAGUAGGGAAGAAGCGAAAGUGACGGUACCUGCAGAAGAAGCACCGGCUAACUACGUG
rnacentral:rRNA from 1 species